rnacentral:rRNA from 1 species
UACGUAGGGGGCAAGCGUUGUCCGGAUUUACUGGGCGUAAAGAGCGUGUAGGCGGCCACGCAGGUCCGUUGUGAAAACUGGAGGCUCAACCUCCAGCUGUCGACGGAAACCGUAUGGCUAGAGUCCGGAAGAGGAGAGUGGAAUUCCCAGUGUAGCGGUGAAAUGCGUAGAUAUUGGGAGGAACACCAGUGGCGAAGGCGGCUCACUGGACCGGUACUGACGCUGAUGCGCGAAAGCGUGGGGAGCAAACGGG